rnacentral:rRNA from 1 species
UACGUAGGGGGCAAGCGUUGUCCGGAAUCAUUGGGCGUAAAGCGCGCGUAGGCGGCUAGAUCAGUCUGCUGUAAAAGUCAAAGGCUCAACCUUUGAAAGCCGGUGGAUACUGUCUAGCUAGAGUCCGGAAGAGGCGAGUGGAAUUCCUGGUGUAGCGGUGGAAUGCGCAGAUAUCAGGAGGAACACCAACAGCGAAGGCAGAUCUCUGGGACGUAACUGACGCUGAGACGCGAAAGCGUGGGGAGCAAACAGG